rnacentral:rRNA from 1 species
ACGCUGGCGGCGUGCCUAAUACAUGCAAGUAGAACGCUGAGGUUUGGUGUUUACACUAGACUGAUGAGUUGCGAACGGGUGAGUAACGCGUAGGUAACCUGCCUCAUAGCGGGGGAUAACUAUUGGAAACGAUAGCUAAUACCGCAUAAGAGUAAUUAACACAUGUUGGUUAUUUAAAAGGAGCAAUUGCUUCACUGUGAGAUGGACCUGCGUUGUAUUAGCUAGUUGGUGAGGUAAAGGCUCACCAAGGCGACGAUACAUAGCCGACCUGAGAGGGUGAUCGGCCACACUGGGACUGAGACACGGCCCAGACUCCUACGGGAGGCAGCAGUAGGGAAUCUUCGGCAAUGGACGGAAGUCUGACCGAGCAACGCCGCGUGAGUGAAGAAGGUUUUCGGAUCGUAAAGCUCUGUUGUUAGAGAAGAACGUUGGUAGGAGUGGAAAAUCUACCAAGUGACGGUAACUAACCAGAAAGGGACGGCUAACUACGUGCCAGCAGCCGCGGUAAUACGUAGGUCCCGAGCGUUGUCCGGAUUUAUUGGGCGUAAAGCGAGCGCAGGCGGUUCUUUAAGUCUGAAGUUAACGGCAGUGGCUUAACCAUUGUACGCUUUGGAAACUGGAGGACUUGAGUGCAGAAGGGGAGAGUGGAAUUCCAUGUGUAGCGGUGAAAUGCGUAGAUAUAUGGAGGAACACCGGUGGCGAAAGCGGCUCUCUGGUCUGUAACUGACGCUGAGGCUCGAAAGCGUG